UACGUAGGUGGCAAGCGUUGUCCGGAAUUAUUGGGCGUAAAGCGCGCGCAGGCGGUUCUUUAAGUCUGAUGUGAAAGCCCACGGCUCAACCGUGGAGGGUCAUUGGAAACUGGAGAACUUGAGUACAGAAGAGGAAAGCGGAAUUCCACGUGUAGCGGUGAAAUGCGUAGAGAUGUGGAGGAACACCAGUGGCGAAGGCGGUCUCCUGGGGCAUUCUUGACGCUGAGGCGCGAAAGCUGGGGGAGCGAACGGG
rnacentral:rRNA from 1 species